rnacentral:rRNA from 1 species
GACGAACCGUGCGAACGUUAAUCGGAUUCAUUGGGCUUAAAGGGCGCGUAGGCGGCGUCGUAAGUUCGUGGUGAAAUCCCAUCGGCUCAACCGUGGAAUCGCUUCGAAUACUGCGUCGCUCGAGGGAGAUAGGGGACCGCAGAACUGCCGGUGGAGCGGUGAAAUGUGUUGAUAUCGGCGGGAAUGCCAGUGCCGAAAGGGGCGGUCUGGACCUCUUCUGACGCUGAGGCGCGAAAGCUAGGGGAGCGAACGGG